UCCCUGGUGGCUCAAACGGUAAAGAAGCUGCCUGCAAUGCAGGAGACCCAGGUUUGAUCCCUGGGUUGGGAA
rnacentral:tRNA from 1 species